CCUACGGUGGUCAGCAGUGGGGGAUAUUGCACAAUGGGGGGAACCCUGAUGUAGCGCCGCCGCGUGGGUGAAGACGCGCCUCGGCGCGUAAAGCCCUGUCAGCAGGGAAGAAAAUGACGGUACCUGAAGAAGAAGCCACAGCUAACUACGUGCCAGCAGCCGCGGUCAUACGGAGGAUGCGAGCGUUAUACGGAUGUAUUGUGUGUACAGGGUGCGUAGGCGGAUCGUUAUGUCAGUGGGCAAAUUGCGGGGCUCAACCCCUUCGCGCCAUUGAAACUGGCGCUCGUGAGUGGAAGAGAAGUAUGCGGAAUGCGUGGUGUAGCGGUGAAAUGCAUAGAUAUCACGCAGAACCCCGAUUGCGAAGGCAGCAUGCCGGCUGCCGACUGACGCUGAAGCACGAAAGCGUGGGGAUCGAACAGGAUUAGAUACCCGAGUAGUC
rnacentral:rRNA from 1 species